AUUACCGAAGCAUUUUCUUUUACAUAAAAACAGGGCAAAAUUAUCAUUGCUAAUUAGAUAUUGUGCUCUUUGUUAGUAAGUUUAUUGUUUCUUCGCCAUUAUAAACGCAAAUAGCGUUCAGCAUCAUCGAUCUUUCACGUGACCUCUGACCUGAAUUUAAAAUUUUUACCGGUAUUUCCGAGUGCACGGCGGCACGGAUUCAUUCGUUCGUACACUCAAGACUGCUUUGUUUCUAAAACUAGUUUCUUGCGCUUCGAUGUCUCGCGUUAUUUAACUUGGGGUGAAGUUACGUGUUUGCAAGCGGACAUGUAAGCCCGGCAGUUGGGUUUCGGUCGUGAGCCAUUCGGAACAGGUCUGCAUCGAAACGGGAGCUGGAUUUUGCUGCGGCUGACAACGGCAAUAACGACGUGCAGUAAUGAAGACGGCACCAGUAUAAAGCAACACACUCCACGCACUAAACAGAAGCUGCUGCCUGCUACAACAAGGUCAUUGUGUGGACAUUGGCUACUACUACAAGAGUCUAUGCCAAGCACAUCUUGGUCAUCACAGGAGCUCCUAUCUGCGCCAACAGGAAGGGGCUGGAGCCGAAUUUACAAGGCUUUUACACCAAGAACAAAGAAGCACAUGCAGAAGAAUAUGAAUGAGAUAUCAAGUCUGCAGAGGACUGUGUCAAGACUGAAAAGAGCUUCAGCCACCAUUCCACCAGCACGGACAUUUGGUUGAGUCAUCCAGGUAACUCAAAAAGGACUUUCUAGAAAUUCUUCGUCUUCAGGUGCACCUGCAACAUCUGACCAAGCACGGACGACGCUGGCCAAAAGAUUGAGUUCCAGCAGUUUGCCCUUAAUCAGCUUUCUAGCCAUGUUAAUUCCGUUUGUGCCAAGUGUAAUUUUUCUUCUAUAAAUGCAAGCUUUCUCAUUGCCCAUUUUUGUUAGAGGUCAUUCAUCCUCAUCCAAAUAUAAAGGUCAACCGAUUCUUCGCUGAUACUUAAUACCAGUCACUGUCUAGCAGCCUAACAUAUCUGUAGCAGUAUCUUCUAGUGUAUGUUGUCAUGCGCAA